rnacentral:lncRNA from 1 species
AAACAACAGAAUACUAGACCGGGAGUUUUUUUUUAAACUUGUAGCAUAAUAAUUAGGAAAAAUAUGCUUGCAAUUGCACAAAGCAAACUCCAACAUGCAGGUCAGCACUGAUCAUUGCAACACCACCACUCAACUCCCCACACCCUCCACUCAGCUCGGUACUAGGCCUUGAGAAUUUAGAUCCGUAGGUUCACGUUACAACCCACAAAUAAGAGAUUUAAAUGUUGAAGUUUAGGGACCUGACCGAUAUUGGCCAAGAGAAUCCCUGUUGAAAAUUUUGAUGGCCAGGUUUUGAUAGGACACACAUUGCCUUAAAUCAAACACCUUACUUUCUAUAGCAGACAUACAAAGGGGACGGAAAAAAAGGUCGCAAAUUGCAACCCCUCAUGACUAAAUUUAAUAGAAGUUUGAGCACACAUCUGUCAUUGGCUUUUGCCUUGCAACCCACCAUACAUGUCGUUUCCUCUUCAUGCAUAAGCUAACUAGCCCUCCACAUGCUCUGCCCCAGCCAAUCAAUGCAGCGUGCUCUGCUCGUACGUGGCCGCAUGGGAGCGCUGCUCCCCGGCUUCGGACAAUCUCUCGCUGCCGUCGCCGCGCCAACAAUUUGCUGCCGCCGCCUCCGACCUGAACAUACAUACACAUUUUUUUUGAAAAGGAGGUUAAGACCCGGGCCUCUGCAUCAAUCGAUGCAUACAGCCAUUUUUAUUUAUUAUUCAACAUAAGUCUAACAAAAGCAUACAUUAAACCAUCCGAAGCCACCACUCACAUCUACAAAACUUGAUAAUAUGGAUUGCUCUCACUCCCCAUAUCUAAACCUUGUGCCGUCGCCGAUCCAUCCACAUAACACAUCGGAAC